rnacentral:rRNA from 1 species
UACGUAGGGGGCAAGCGUUGUCCGGAUUUAUUGGGCGUAAAGAGCGUGUAGGCGGCUUUACAGGUCCGUUGUGAAAACUCGAGGCUCAACCUCGAGACGCCGGUGGAAACCGUAAGGCUAGAGUCCGGAAGAGGAGAGUGGAAUUCCUGGUGUAGCGGUGAAAUGCGCAGAUAUCAGGAGGAACACCCGUGGCGAAAGCGGCUCUCUGGGCCACUACUGACGCUGAGGAGCGAAAGCGUGGGGAGCGAACAGG